CCUACGGGAGGCAGCAGUAAGGAAUAUUGGUCAAUGGGCGGAAGCCUGAACCAGCCAUGCCGCGUGCAGGAAGACGGCCCUAUGGGUUGUAAACUGCUUUUGUACCGGAAUAAACCCCCGAACGUGUUCGGGGCUGAAUGUACGGUAAGAAUAAGGAUCGGCUAACUCCGUGCCAGCAGCCGCGGUAAUACGGAGGAUCCGAGCGUUAUCCGGAUUUAUUGGGUUUAAAGGGUGCGUAGGCGGCCUGUUAAGUCAGGGGUGAAAGACGGUAGCUCAACUAUCGCAGUGCCUUUGAUACUGACGGGCUUGAAUGUACUUGAGGUAGGCGGAAUGUGACAAGUAGCGGUGAAAUGCAUAGAUAUGUCGCAGAACACCAAUUGCGAAGGCAGCUUACUAAGGUAUGAUUGACGCUGAGGCACGAAAGCGUGGGGAUCAAACAGGAUUAGAUACCCUGGUAGUCCACGCCCUAAACCGAUGAAUACUCGAUGUUGGCGAUAUACGGCCAGCGUCUAAGCGAAAGCGUUAAGUAUUCCACCUGGGGAGUACGCCCGCAAGGUGAAACUCAAAUGAAUUGACGGCUGNGACGNGCGAGACGACGACGAGGGAGAGG
rnacentral:rRNA from 1 species